UGGGGAAUUUUGCACAAUGGGGGAAACCCUGAUGCAGCGACGCCGCGUGAUUUAGAAGGCCUUCGGGUUGUAAAAAUCUUUUCUAUGGGAAGAAACUGACAGUACCAUAGGAAUAAGGACCGGCUAAUUACGUGCCAGCAGCCGCGGUAAUACGUAAGGUCCGAGCGUUGUCCGGAAUCAUUGGGCGUAAAGGGUACGUAGGCGGGUAAGCAAGUUAGAAGUGAAAUCCUAUAGCUCAACUAUAGUAAGCUUUUAAAACUGCUCAUCUUGAGGUAUGGAAGGGAAAGUGGAAUUCCUAGUGUAGCGGUGAAAUGCGCAGAUAUUAGGAGGAAUACCGGUGGCGAAGGCGACUUUCUGGCCAUAACCUGACGCUGAGGUACGAAAGCGUGGGUAGCAAACAGG
rnacentral:rRNA from 1 species